CAGCAGCCACGGUAAAACGUAGGUGGCAAGCGUUGUCCGGAAUUAUUGGGCGUAAAGGGCUCGCAGGCGGUUUCUUAAGUCUGAUGUGAAAGCCCCCGGCUCAACCGGGGAGGGUCAUUGGAAACUGGGAAACUUGAGUGCAGAAGAGGAGAGUGGAAUUCCACGUGUAGCGGUGAAAUGCGUAGAGAUGUGGAGGAACACCAGUGGCGAAGGCGACUCUCUGGUCUGUAACUGACGCUGAGGAGCGAAAGCCUGGGGAGCGAACAGGAUUAGAUACCCGAGUAGUCCCUGUCUCUUAUAA
rnacentral:rRNA from 1 species